GGAAAAAACGGAAAGUGUCCAUUAAAUUGCGGCGUCCUGGAUGCGAAGAGAUUGUUGUUCAAGGGCCUUUGCCAAAGGAUUGGCAAGGUUUCUCAGUCAAGUUUGCCGAGUCCCUUAAAGCUUGCUAUGCAGAUAGGUCAUACUACGGCCCUCCGGAUUUCUUGUGCCAAUACUAUGGUGCCUCCUUUUGGUUUGCU